rnacentral:rRNA from 1 species
CCUACGGGAGGCUGCAGUGAGGAAUAUUGGUCAAUGGACGCAAGUCUGAACCAGCCAUGCCGCGUGCAGGAAGACGGCCCUAUGAGUUGUACACUUCUUUUGUACUAGGGUAAAUCCCGAUACGUGUACCGGGUUGAAAGUAUCUUACGAAUAAGGAUCGGCUAACUCCGUGCCAGCAGCCGCGGUAAUACGGAGGAUCCAAGCGUUAUCCGGAUUUAUUGGGUUUAAAGGGUGCGUAGUUGGGUGGAUAAGUUAGAGGUGAAAUCCUGCGGCUCAACUUCGGAAUUGCUUUUGAUACUGUCAGGCUAGAGUGUAGUUGCGGUAGGCGGAAUGUAUGGUGUAGCGGUGAAAUGCUUAGAGAUCAUACAGAACACCGAUUGCGAAGGCAGCUUACCAAGCUACCUCUGACGUUGAGGCACGAAAGCGUGGGUAGCAAACAGGAUUAGAUACCCCAGUAGUC